rnacentral:tRNA from 1 species
GGAGGAUACAGCUCAGUGGUAGAGCACAUGCUUAGCGUCACGAGGUCCUGGGUUCAAUUCCCAGUACCUCCU